CACCCACUCGAUCUGAAGGGUCAC
rnacentral:miRNA from 1 species